UACGAAGGGGCUAGCGUUGCCCGGAAUCACUGGGCGUAAAGGGUGCGUAGGCGGGUCUUUAAGUCAGGGGUGAAAUCCUGGAGCUCAACUCCAGAACUGCCUUUGAUACUGAAGAUCUUGAGUUCGGGAGAGGUGAGUGGAACUGCGAGUGUAGAGGUGAAAUUCGUAGAUAUUCGCAAGAACACCAGUGGCGAAGGCGGAGCUCACCUGGCCCG
rnacentral:rRNA from 1 species